ensembl:lncRNA
CAGGUAUGUUUAGUGAUGUUGGCUGAGUGUUACUAGUGUGCUGUGUUUCAUGUUAGUAUUCUUGUUUAGAGCAUAGAUUUGGAUAAACCUUGCGGCUGGUGCUUGGUUGAUGUGGUCUCUCUCAACCGUCUAAAGCAAGCGGGAGGGAGACUGUAAUAGCCCAGACGUUCUGCCUUACGCUACAUAGUAGUUUUGCCCCAUUGUGUGCUGUAUUGCCAACCGAGUGAGCCCACGGGUGCACAGAAUGUUGCGUACCUGAUCGGUCGGGCUUUGAGAGAGCACACGGAUACGGUAGACUUGUUGCGUCUGCGGGCGAUUUUAACUCCUUACUGUGGGGGCUUCGUGGGAAGUAUCGUCCAGAGGCGCUGUUGCUUUGCCGGAGCUGAGUGCCGAAGGCGGGGUGGAUUUUGGUGGUGGUGCUACUUCACGAGUGCAGUGUGGAGUGGGUGUGUGUGUGUAUGUGUUUCCACACAGGUGUAACGAAAGUGUGCGGUGCUGUGGAGGCCUAUUAGUGCCCUUAUUCCCAGCUGUUACGCCUCGGCUCCUGCAUCCCCUUCAUACAGUUUUGUUGAGGGUAUUGGCCACCCAUAUCACAUUCAUUGAGCUAUUUAUUCUUUUCUUUUUUUUUUGUGAUUUGAUUUGUUGCAUUAAAUUUUAUUUUUAAUAAAAAUUUUUAAUUGUUU